rnacentral:rRNA from 1 species
UACAGAGGGUGCGAGCGUUAAUCGGAAUUACUGGGCGUAAAGCGCGCGUAGGCGGCUUUGCAAGUUAGAGGUGAAAGCCCGGAGCUCAACUUCGGAAUUGCCUUUAAAACUGCAUCGCUUGAAUCCGGGAGAGGUGAGUGGAAUUCCGAGUGUAGAGGUGAAAUUCGUAGAUAUUCGGAAGAACACCAGUGGCGAAGGCGGCUCACUGGACCGGCAUUGACGCUGAGGUGCGAAAGCGUGGGGAGCAAACAGG